rnacentral:misc_RNA from 1 species
AAGAAGAAGAAGAAGAAGGAAAAGAAUGUUGAGAUUCCUGAAGACCCUCAGGUAUCAAGUGGAAUAGAUAAGGGGUUUCAGAGCUUCUGUAGUGAUAUGUCUAUGGUGGAUGGAAUGAAAGAAGGAGAAAAUGUGGUUAGUAUAGAUAUGAAUGUUGUUGACAAUGCAGCUGAACAGAAUCCCGUUGAUAUGUCUAAUGGUGUCGUCCUACGAAGGCUUCUUGUGAGUUGAUCGGGGGCCCAGAUACUUUGAUCCUCCAGACAGCAGUUGGGGGACGUGUUAUAAUUGUGGUGAAGAGGGUCAUACGACAGUCAGUUGUACUUCAGCCAAACGCAAAAAACCAUGUUUUGUUUGUGGGAGUUUUGAUCAUAAUUCUAAACAAUGUACAAAGGGCAAGGAGUGUUUCAUCUGCAAGAAGGGCGGUCAUCGUGCUAAGGAUUGCCUUGAAAAAAGCCAAGGAGGAUCUGAGAGUUCAAGAAUGUGUUUAAAAUGUGGGGAUUCUGGGCAUGAUAUGCUGUCAUGCUGGAAUAACUAUUAUGCUGAUGAUCUAAAGGAAAUACAAUGUUACAUUUGUAAGAGUUUUGGUCAUCUUUGCUGUGCAAGCUACCCCAAUGGUGGUCCAAGUGAAAUAUCCUGUUACAGAUGUGGUCUACUAGGCCAUACCGGUUUGGCAUGCACAGGAUCUCGUGGGGAAACUAGUGGUACAUGGAAUCUUAGUUCUUGUUUUAGGUGUGGCGAAGAAGGGCAUUUUGCACGAGAAUGCACUAAUUCCAAUAUAGUCAAUAAGUGGAAUCGGGAAUCAUCAACCCCCAAGAAGAAAGUGUUCAAGGAAAGAAAGGAAAAUUAUGAGUUCCAAUCUGCUCCUCAUGAAUAUGGUAAGGCAAGAAAAAAGAACACACAAUAUGGAGAAGGAUAUGCAUCAGGGUACAAUACAAAACAUAGAGCUGGUUGGAUCACCGAUGAUCCUGAAGACUUCCCUCGAUCCAAUGGUUGGAGAUCUCCUUCAACUCCUGGACAUAAGAGAGCCAGGACAUCCAACUUUGGUUCUGGUGAUCAUUCUUCUGUUUCUUAUUCAUCUAGAAAGUCCAACAGGCUCGACUUUAACGAUUCAACUUCUUAUGGAUCAGUCAAACAUCAUCAUCACCAUAGGUUUUCAGCUUCGCGAUUUGGCAACAGCAGUCAUGAUGGGAGGAGAAAUUAUGAAUGGUAACAGAAACCCUUUAUUAUCUCUUUUUUUUGGAUGACCAAAUCUCCAUCCAGUAACCAUACAAAUGAGCAGAUCUCCUCUUUUUUUUUUUUGGAUGAUUCUAAUAUUGUUCUCCUGCUUAAUGGGCAUAUGAAAUUAGGUUUUGUCAAUUGAUUAGCC